rnacentral:rRNA from 1 species
CCUACGGGAGGCAGCAGUGAGGAAUAUUGGUCAAUGGGCGUAAGCCUGAACCAGCCAAGUCGCGUGAGGGAUGAAGGUUCUAUGGAUCGUAAACCUCUUUUAUAAGGGAAUAAAGUGAGGGACGUGUCCUGUUUUGUAUGUACCUUAUGAAUAAGGAUCGGCUAACUCCGUGCCAGCAGCCGCGGUAAUACGGAGGAUCCGAGCGUUAUCCGGAUUUAUUGGGUUUAAAGGGAGCGUAGGCGGCCUUUUAAGUCAGCGGUGAAAGUCUGCGGCUCAACCAUAGAAUGGCCGUUGAAACUGGGAGGCUUGAGUGUGUUUGAGGCAGGCGGAAUGCGUGGUGUAGCGGUGAAAUGCUUAGAUAUCACGCAGAACCCCGAUUGCGAAGGCAGCCUGCCAAGCCAUGACUGACGCUGAUGCACGAAAGCGUGGGGAUCAAACAGGAUUAGAUACCCCAGUAGUC